CCUACGGGAGGCAGCAGUGAGGAAUAUUGGUCAAUGGGCGCGAGCCUGAACCAGCCAAGUCGCGUGAGGGAAGACGGUCCUAUGGAUUGUAAACCUCUUUUGUCGGGGAGCAAAAGACGCCACGCGUGGCGUUCCGAGAGUACCCGAAGAAAAAGCAUCGGCUAACUACGUGCCAGCAGCCGCGGUAAUACGGAGGAUGCGAGCGUUAUCCGGAUUUAUUGGGUUUAAGGGGUGCGCAGGGGGAAGAUCAAGUCAGCGGUAAAAUUGAGGGGCUCAACCUCGUCGAGCCGUUGAAACUGGUUGUCUUGAGUGAGUGAGAGGUAAGCGGAAUGCGUGGUGUAGCAGUGAAAUGCAUAGAUAUCACGCAGAACUCCGAUUGCGAAGGCAGCAUACCGGCGCUCAACUGACGCUCAUGCACGAAAGUGUGGGUAUCGAACAGGAUUAGAUACCCUAGUAGUC
rnacentral:rRNA from 1 species